rnacentral:rRNA from 1 species
AUUGAACGCUGGCGGCAUGCCUAACACAUGCAAGUCGAACGGGGCGCUUCGGCGCCUAGUGGCGGACGGGUGAGUAAAGCGUAGGAAUCUGCCUUGUAGUGGGGGACAACCUGGGGAAACUCAGGCUAAUACCGCAUACGCUCGCGAGAGGAAAGCGGGGGAUCUUCGGACCUCGCGCCGCAAGAAGAGCCUACGUCCGAUUAGCUAGUUGGUAGGGUAAAAGCCUACCAAGGCGACGAUCGGUAGCUGGUCUGAGAGGAUGAUCAGCCACACUGGGACUGAGACACGGCCCAGACUCCUACGGGAGGCAG